UGGUGGAGUGAUUUGUCUGCUUAAUUGCGAUAACGAACGAGACCUUAACCUGCUAAAUAGCCCUUAUUGCUUCGGCAGUAUGCUGGCUUCUUAGAGGGACUAUCGGCUCAAGCCGAUGGAAGUUUGAGGCAAUAACA
rnacentral:rRNA from 1 species